UUAUUCUCAUUUAGCAAAGUUUUUAUUCAAAAGCUUCUCAGCACCAUCUAGUUAUCAGAAAGAAUGGAUAUCACCUUUUCCUGCCCACCCAAUCCCCAGUUCCACAGGCAGAAGUUAAACCAUUUGGCUAGAGUUCCCCCUAAUGAUUAUGACUGAGACCAUGAUAAGAUUUUGGUUGUUCUCACCCAACUGUCUCUAAGCCUCUACUCAAACCUGACUCAAGCAGAGAUGUGCACACCCCACAGUUCAGAACAGGAAGGAAUCAUGUCAGAUCUGAUCAACCUCCCAUUCUUGGGCUAUUAGAGGCACAAGAAAUUACCUUGAAAAAAUGGAAUUCAGUGACUGCCAUCUAGGAAAGACAGUGAUACUGUCCAGCAGCAUGCAGUUCCGAGAGCUCAACUCUUAGGCCACCCUCCCUCCACUCUACUCUAGGAACAAGGAGCAUUAGGUCUGUUUUCUCUCCAUACACCUCAAUCGCUCGUCCUCUCGUCUUAUUAAAACACAGACACAGAACCAAACUUUUUGACAGUUAAAGACAAACAAUUACAUCUAAUUAAAAUGCUAAGAGAUCCUGAGCUGUUAGAGAUGAGGAGAGUAGAUAGUAUGACCUGAUCUUCCCCCCUCUUUUUUUUCCUUUAACAGUAUUCUGUUUCAGCAUAAAGCACACUUUCUGAAGAGGUUCCUGGUGGAGACUGGAAAUCUGACUGUGUCCUGUGGCAACACACAGUCCCUUGCAUAACUUUGGCUUCAGUCCCUGGAUCUGUCCUUUGCAGCUACGUCAGGUUCCAUGGAAGGAGGAAAGAGCUGGAGGGCAGUAUCACUCAGCCAAAGCUCCCAUGGGGUCCCAUGCUGGCAGGAUAAUGGGUUCCUGCUCUAACACAGCUAGCACCUCUUCAGGGACAUGCUUCCUGUCCACCACCACUUCGUAGACAUACUCAGAGAACCACUCAUCUGUCAUGCACAGGAGGAAAUCUACGAUGACGAUCAGGCGGAACUAGAAGACUCAGACAUCUGCUUAACCUGCUCUCCUUAGGAAGGCCUCUCCAGUGGGUUAGGACUAUACAGAGGUGCCCCGGCACUAAUGCCCCAUUUAAGGUUGAAAGCUCAGCUGAGAGAAAAAGUGUGGUGUCAUCGGGUACCCAUCCUAGUAAUAGUUGCCUUCCAUAAGGAGGAUUAACCUGCAUCUCAGGCUCCACUAGGCCAACACAAAUUCCCCUUCAGAAACCAGAUCCUCAUCUCUCACCUUACACAAAAAUCAACUCAAGAUGGUCAAAGGCUGAAAGCUAAAACCUGAAACCAAUACAAGUUCUAGAAGAUAACAUCGGAAAAACUCUUCCAGACAUUGGCUUAGGCAAAGAAUUCAUGACUAAGACCCCAAAAGCAAAUGCAACAAAAACAUAAAUAAAUGGGACCUAAUUAAACUAAAAGGCUUCUGCACAGCAAGAGAAAUAGCAGUGUAAACAGACAACCCACAGAGUGGGAGAAAAUCUUCGCAAACUAUGAUUCCGACAAAGGACUAACACCCAGAGUCUACAAGGAACUCAAACAAUCGGCAAGAAACAAACAAACAAACAAAAAACCAAAUAAUCCCAUCAAAAAAUGGGCAAAGGACAUGAAUAGACAAUCUGAAAAAGAAGAUACACAGCCAACAAACAUGAAAAAAUGCUCAACAUCACUAAUUAUCAGAGAAAUGCAAAUUAAAACCACAAUGUGAUACCACCUUACUCCUGCAAGAAUGGCCAUAAUUAAAAAGCAAAAAAAUUACAGAUGUUGGUGUGGAUGUGGUGAAAAGGGAACACUUUUACAAUGCUGGUGGGAAUAUAAACUAGUACAACCACUAAGGAAAACGGUA
rnacentral:lncRNA from 1 species